UUGUAUUUACCGCUAUCUAAAUUAUCGAAACGAUAUUUACCAUUUUCAUCUGUUUUAGUUGUUCCAAUUACUUCGCCUUUUUCGUUUUGCAAUGUAACUGUCACAUCUUUAAUACCUUUUUCAGUUGAGUCUUGUUUGCCGUCUUUAUUACUGU
rnacentral:sRNA from 1 species